GAUCAGUGAUGAAAAUAGCCAAAUCUGAGCAUCAGAAGACCUUUUGGUCUGCUUGGUGCGUGAUCUUUACAGUUCUGAGA